ensembl:Y_RNA Y_RNA Y RNA
GGCCGGUAUGAAGGUAGUGAGUUAUCACAACUGAUUAUUUAUAGUCAAGUUACAAAUCAAACUCCUUGUUCUACUCUUUCCCCCCUUCUCACUAAUGCAUUUGACUAAAA